GUAGGUGAACCUGCGGAAGGAUCAUUACAGAGAACUUGCCCUUCGGGGUAGAUCUCCCACCCUGUGUUUACGUUACCAUUGUUGCUUUGACGGGCCCGUCCCUCCUGGGACCGCCGGCUCCGGCUGGCCCGUGCCCGUCAGAGGACCCCAAACGCUUAUUUUAACGUCGUCUGAGUACUAUACAAUAGUUAAAACUUUCAACAACGGAUCUCUUGGUUCUG
rnacentral:misc_RNA from 1 species